CCCAAACCCUUCACCGCCACCACCAUCACUUUUCUCUUUAUUACUAGCACUGCAACACCAUCUCAGUCACCUUCUCACUUUCCCUGUCUCUUUUUUACUGCCAUCCCAUCUUCUCUUCCGUCUCCAAUCCCCAACAUUCUUGAAUCAGGUGAAGUUUAUUUUAUUGGGUUUACAAGUUCCAAAAUCAAAUUCGGCGAUUAGUCAAGAUUAGAUUUUAGAUUAGCAUUUUAUUCAUUGAUUCUAAAGGGUAACAGUAACAAGACCACAGUUAUUGAAUUAGGUUUGGAUUGAGCUUUUCAGAUGUGUGAAGUUGGUCCGAAAAUGCGCAGGGGUCGAUUCAAAAGCAGGUUUUGUUGGUCGGAGGAUGGUGGUGGCGAGGGUGUGGUAUGUCUGGUCGGCAAAUGGAAGGGAGAAGAACGAACAGUGGAAGAUAGUGAGAUGGAAUUUUGAAGCGUGUAAAAAGUGUGUGUGAAGGGUAGGAUAGUAAAUGUGUAAGCAGUUCCGAUUUUGUUUGAAUUUCUGUAGGUUUGAACAUGGAGUAGAGUAAUAUAAGCAGUUCCUAAUGCGGCACGGAUUGCAGCAUAUCGAUUUGACAUGUCUGUUUGUUUGCUUGAUAAUAUUUGUUUAUGGAAAGAUAUCCUUGUAUUUCGAAUUAUGGAGCAGCUGGCUCCUAAGUUAGCGAAUUCAGCGUCAUGUGUGCAGAGUAUCCCACCAAAUAUUCAUGAUAGGAGUUACUACUAUAUCUGCCACUUACUGAUCAGUUUCAUGAUUGUGUGAAUGAAUGCAAAAUGGUUAAGCGAAGGGGAGGCUAAUGAUGUCACAUAUGAUUGACUACUUGCGGUGAAUGAGGUGCUCUUCGUCCGGAGCAGUACUUCUUAUGCAUUUUAUGAACACCGGUCAAGGUCGAAACUGCACUGAUUGGAUAUUCAUGUACAACGCAAGGAUUAAGACAAGGAAAUUGUAUUUUCCAUGGAAUGCGACUAGAGGGAUGGGUUGCCUUGAAUGGGAGGAUGCCCAUCAUUGUUGAUGAAGUAAUAACAUGUGAACCAACAAGCAAACAUAGAUUUAUUUUGGCUGGUGAAGGUAGAAAAAUUAGGCAUGCAUUUGCUCCUCUACAAUAUAGGUUUUGGAAAAAAAAAUCACGCCCAAGAAAG